rnacentral:rRNA from 1 species
GACGAACGCUGGCGGCGUGCUUAACACAUGCAAGUCGAACGGAAAGGCCCUGCUUUUGUGGGGUGUUCGAGUGGCGAACGGGUGAGUAACACGUGAGUCACCUGCCCUUGACUUUGGGAUAACUUCAGGAAACUGGGGCUAAUACCGGAUAGGAGCUCCUGUUGCAUGGUGGGGGUUGGAUAGUUUCGGCGGUUGGGGAUGGACUCGCGGCUUAUCAGCUUGUUGGUGGGGUAGUGGCUUACCAAGGCUUUGACGGGUAGCCGGCCUGAGAGGGUGACCGGCCACAUUGGGACUGAGAUACGGCCCAGACUCCUACGGGAGGCAGCAGUGGGGAAUAUUGCACAAUGGGCGGAAGCCUGAUGCAGCAACGCCGCGUGCGGGAUGACGGCCUUCGGGUUGUAAACCGCUUUCGCCUGGGACGAAGCGUGAGUGACGGUAAUGGGUAAAGAAGCACCGGCUAACUACGUG